UACGAAGGGGGCUAGCGUUGCUCGGAAUUACUGGGCGUAAAGCGCACGUAGGCGGCUUUCUAAGUCGGGGGUGAAAUCCUGGAGCUCAACUCCAGAACUGCCUUCGAUACUGGAGAGCUUGAGUCCGGGAGAGGUGAGUGGAACUGCGAGUGUAGAGGUGAAAUUCGUAGAUAUUCGCAAGAACACCAGUGGCGAAGGCGGCUCACUGGCCCGGUACUGACGCUGAGGUGCGGAAAGCAUGGGUAGCGAACGAGG
rnacentral:rRNA from 1 species